rnacentral:lncRNA from 1 species
AUCAAUCUUGAAAUCGUUUUUUUCUUUUCCUUUAUUUUGCCUAGCUGCAGUGCCAGCUUUCGGGCUGGCUACCGUCCGCCUCGUUCACUUCAUAUGACUCUCCUUUUAGUUUGUAGAUCUAUUUUGUGAGCUCUCUAUUCACUCCAAAUGCUUUAUAUUUUUUUUCAAUUUGCAGAUCUAUUUUGUGAGUAUCUUCAAUAUCUUCCCAAGUUGUGAUGGACAAAUGAUGAUGUCGUCUUUGAACCUUCACCGAUCAUCAAUGGUUUCUUUUGGAAAGUGAGUUGGUUGUAUAAACUCAAACAGUGGCUCUUCAUCGACUUCCUAAUAUGUUUAUGUUUUGAAAUAAUAAAUGAAUUCGUGAGUCAAUUUGGACAUGUAUUAUCUUUAAGUUUUAUAUGUUUUCUUAUUUGUUUUUCAUUGUUUAAUAAGUCUUAACUUUUUAAAAAAAAUUCAAUCUUGCUUAUACAUGUAGUCUUACUUUUGUGUGAUUUUAGGAGAUUUUCUGGUCGGCCUCUCUAGUUUGAUGGAUGCUCAAUUAUUUUGUCGAUUCCACCCACCGCUCUGAAUCAUCUAAGGUUGAUUUUCUGAUCGUGAUAGUUGCUUGCAAUCGCUCCAAAUAUGUUGUGUGUGAGUUGUGACAAAGCCAAAUAUCAACGUGUUGUAAUGUUCUAUUGAUGCUAAAGUUGAAGCCUUUGUCGUGUUUAUGGAGCUUGUCCUUCAUCGCCAACAACGAGUGUUUGUUUUUUUUUUCUUUUCCCCGAAUUGUAAGAUCCCAUUUAUGGAAUGACUUAAUAAAUUUUCCCUUAAAAAAAACAAUUCUAC